UACGAAGGGGGCGAGCGUUGUUCGGAUUUACUGGGCGUAAAGGGCGCGCAGGCGGCGAUCUUUGUCAGGCGUGAAAGCCCCGGGCUUAACCUGGGAACUGCGCUUGGGACGGGAUUGCUGGAGACCGGGAGAGGAGAGUGGAAUUCCCAGUGUAGAGGUGAAAUUCGUAGAUAUCGGGAGGAAUACCGAUGGCGAAGGCAGGUCUCUGGGCUAUAACUGACGCUCAUGCACGAAAGCGUGGGGAGCAAACAGG
rnacentral:rRNA from 1 species